CUGAAAAUGUAUUCACCCUCAGGUCAUACAAGAUGUAUAUGAGUUUGUUUCUUCAUUGGGACAGAUUUUGUGAACGUAUUCACUGCAGAGGAUCCUUUGGUUGUAUAACCAAAAUCCAACAUUAAGACCGUCAAAUUGACGUCAAAUACUGACGUCAACCCGAUUUUCAUUCUCAACCAAAAUGCAACGCCUGUCCGAUGUUGUCAGGGAUGUCACGUUGUAACAGCCUCCUCCGUCACCACAGUCAUCAUCCACCACUUACACCAGAUCGCACUCACCUGUGUUCUGAUCACCUGCACCUAGGUUCUGAUCUCCUGCACCUGCCGAUCUCCAAUCAAGACACACUCAAGAGCACGCUGCACUCAGUGAUUCACUGUCCGGUCUACCGUUCACUACCCCGAACUGUACCUGACUCCCUUGUGCUACUAACCUGUUUGUACUUACCUUCCAGUCUCCAGUUGAUUCUCCAGAGAUUAUCCCUCGUUGCUCCCUCUCGUUCCCGGACUCCUCAGCUCCCGCUAUCCUGCAAGGAUAUAGACUAAGACCGGACCAAGACAAUUACCUCCAUGGAUCCACGCACUCCAUCUCCUGCAGAUAUCCUCGAGGAACUGGUCACCACACUCUUCACUCUUCACUUCACUCACGCCAGUUUCUACCCCGCCAUCUGCCUCUGUAAGUCCCAUGGCCAUGCCAGCUACCUAUGCGGGUGGCGCUGUAGACUGUGGUGGCUUCCUUCUCCAGAUUGUGCUGUUCAUCGAGAUGCAACCAGCGAUGUUCCCCACCGAACGCUCGAAGAUAACAUUUCUCAUUUCUCUCCUCUCUGGUCAAGCGCUACUCUGGGCGAAAGCUAUAUGGAAUUCUGCCAUAAUUAAUUCCAUAGAUGCAUUUACUAAUCAUUUCAAAGAAGUUUUCUGUUCCACGUCAGGAACCCUCU